AUCUCUUCGGAGCAUUUUACGAGGUGCUGCAUGGUUGUCGUCAGCUCGUGCCGUGAGGUGUCGGGUUAAGUCCCAUAACGAGCGCAACCCCUACCUUUAGUUGCCAUCAGGUUAAGCUGGGGACGUCUAAAGGAACUGCCUACGCAAGUAGUGAGGAAGCGGGGAUGACGUCAAAUCAGCACGGCCCUUACGUCCAGGGCUACACACGUGCUACAAUGGCCGAUACAGAGGGCAGCUACCUGGUGACAGGAUGCAAAUCUCCAAAGUCGGUCUCAGUUCGGAUCGGAGUCUGCAACCCGACUCCGUGAAGUUGGAUUCGCUAGUAAUCGCGCAUCAGCCAUGGCGCGGUGAAUACGUUCCCGGGCCUU
rnacentral:rRNA from 1 species